rnacentral:rRNA from 1 species
GUCUAUGGCCAUACUACCCUGAAUGUGUCCAAUCUUGUCUGAUAUCAGAAGCUAAGCAUGGUUGGGCCUGGUUAGUACUUGGGUGGAGAAAAUACUUUGAGAUGAAUGACA